AUUAAGUCAUUAAUGAUCAUCUUUUAUUAUUGUUUAUUUAUAGUGUCUUUUAUUCUGCUUACCUGACUCAUGCAGAAUUCUGGCUUGAUGUUUGGUCCACCUGUUAGCUGGCUCUGGUGCUUGGUAGUCUUCUCAAACCUCUAAAUCAAGGCCACCAUGAGAGGCCUUCUGAAGACCAUCAUUACGCUUCAGAUCCAGUUGUCUUAACUAUGAGCCUACCACAAUCCCUGUGCACCAGCUAUGGAAAGUGCAGACCAAACUUCUACCUCCACCUAUAGAACUGAACUGGAGUCUGUGAACUAAUGCUGUGUUCGAGACAACUGGAACAGCAAACAAAAUCCUUUCUCUUUUUAAUGCAGCACUUAAGGAUGAACCACCCUGAUCUACUAAGAUGCACAGAUUCAACUCUGGCCCAGCAUCAUCCCCACACCUCAUCUGCCAUCAGUUUAAUUUAAUGUCUGUCAAUUGCAAAUGCUAUUUAUUUCAGUUAUAUUACAACUUUAUGUUAACUUUAAUUGAGACUAGUAUUGUGUAAAGCUGGGGUUUCCAAACUUUUCAUUUCAAAACCUAUUAGACAAGUGUAAUCUAUUCUAGACCCACUAAAAUAUUUUUACAUAUACAUUUUUUUAAUGGGGUAAAACACAUUUGUUCUCUUUCAGUGGAGUCAUUUUAUUUUCAUAAUAUUUCAUAAUGUAAAGCAGUGGUUCUUAACGUUAUUCCUCGAGGCCCACUGCUCUGCACAUUUUGUAUGUCUCUUUUAUCUGACAGACUCAGUUCAGUUCAUUGAGAUCUCUUCUAAUGAGCUGAUGAUUUGAAUCAG